UACGAAGGGGGCUAGCGUUGCUCGGAAUGACUGGGCGUAAAGGGCGCGUAGGCGGCUCAUAGAGUCGGAUGUGAAAUUCCCGGGCUUAACCUGGGGGCUGCAUUUGAUACGUGUUGUCUUGAGUUCGGAAGAGGGUCGUGGAAUUCCCAGUGUAGAGGUGAAAUUCGUAGAUAUUGGGAAGAACACCGGUGGCGAAGGCGGCGACCUGGUCCGAUACUGACGCUGAGGCGCGAAAGCGUGGGGAGCAAACAGG
rnacentral:rRNA from 1 species